UGAGCACCCAACAUUUUUUGCCCAGAGUUGGCUCCUGGCAGGAGCCACAUAUUUUCUUUUGAAGAGCUGAUGGUUGGCCAUGCCUCUAUUAGACUUGUUCAAGCAGAUUGGGUUCCCUAUGUCAACUCUGGCCACCAUAAUCCUUUCCCUGUUCAGGCUGAGCAAGAAUGGGGCAAGCUGUGCUGUGCAUAACCCUUGUCUGCCUGCUGUGCACUGCUCAGGGAGGAGGCAGAGCGCGGAAGGAGAAAGGCCUGUGGGUUAGGCCCCAGGUGCCAGGCUCUCCACAUUGAAACAAUCCCGAACUGGAGCUGUGCUGUAAGGCAUCAACAGCUGCUCUCAUGUCCUCCUGUUACCCAGUCCACACAGGGAUUCGGACCUAGCACUGUGAGCAAGAAACUGAUCUGGGCGCACAGCUAAGAUCAGGUUCAGCAACCCCUUGGUGAUCAGAAGGUUGCCUUCUCUCAUGCUAGGGCCUACUCCCUGAAGUGCUGAUGUAACAGGGCAGAGCGAUGGUGUGUCUCCUUAACUAGCUGCUGUCGUUGAUUGAGACAUUGGCUGUGAGGCAACACCAUCUGAUGGCUGAGGUAAAUCACUCUUCUGCAGUGAUGCUGCACUUUUUGGUUGUGCCCCAGCCCGAACAGGCUAGGUGGCCCCUGAGGUGAGUUAGGGUGGAGUUGAUGCAGGCAGGAAGUAUCACCUCAGCAGACCACACAGCCUGUCUGGGUUUGGGGGGGGAAGGAGUGCAACCUGUGUAGUCUCUAAGGACCCUAGUUUGAGAACUGCUAAUCUAAAGAAAUACCUCCCAUGGGUGGUGGCUGGAUGCUGUUUCAGUCCAAGGUACUCCUACUCUGCCUUUCUACAGCUCCCGGUGUUUUUACAACAUUUGUCUCUGUGGUAGCAACUCACCUGAUGAAUCGGUAUUUUUGUGUACCUCGAUGCAGACUAGCUACUGAAGGCUGGUGUAUGCGAGGACCUGUUAAGCCAUAAGGUGUUUACAGCCAAUCUCUACAGAUUUUUGGCUCCUCCUCAAAGGAUUCCCUUCCUUGGCACCGUACUGGACGUGGUAGAGGGGAGAGCUUGCCUGCCAGAGGCUUUUUCAAAAUGAGCAACUACCUAUUAAAGAUUAGGUGAUGUCCUACUUGGAGAGUAAAAUUCUUUGAGUCUCAUGGAUCUUAUAGCAGCCCCUACCUACAUGACUUUGCCUGUCUGAAAAAAAGAUAUCCCAAUUCUACAGGCCAAGCGGGGACAGUCUUCACUUGAUCACCAUGCCUCAGAAUAUCAUAGCUGCUCUAGACUGGUGAUUAGUCAGAAUGAGUGUACUCAGUGAGGUACUAUUCAAUCCCCAUGCCCAUCCUGGACAGUGGCUUCAGACACAUCAUGCAUGAUCCCUGAAGGAUCAGUUGGUUCAGGCUAUGUUCUCCAACUGGGGUCAGCUAGAUGUGGAUUUGUUCACAACACAGGCCACCAAAAAGUUUUGCCUCUUCUGUUCUAGAGAAGACAGGGACAGUCACUUUGUGUCAGAUGCCUUCCUUCUGGGCUGGGGGGAGGAGCUGAUGUGAACACUUUAGUGAGGAAGAGACACCAGGCCAGAACAAGAAUGAGUCUCAUUGUCCAGGUUUAGCCACACCAGGAGUGUUUACCCAUCUCCUGCAACUGUCCGCUGGUCUCCAGAUAUGUUGUCAUAGCAGGAGCUUUCAUCUGGCCCCACAUCUCUGCCUGAAAAUGUGGGUGACCAGACUUGGCUUUGUCUGCUCUUGAAGAGGUGAUGUACCUUAUCCAUGCAAGACCUACUUGUUCACUCUAGAAGUAGUCCAGUUGAAGUGGUCCUUAUUUCAGGCAUGGAUGAAGAAAAGUUCUUAUUGCCUGUAUUGGCUUCCAUUCUUUGUGUUCUGAACUAUUUAUUUCACUUAAAGAAUCAAACUGAUCAUUAAGUGUUUACAAGCAUUUAAUACCCAACUGGCUGCCAAGUAGAGGGUAGACUUGUUUGUUCAUGUUCAUGGUUCAGUUAAGAGAGCUCAUGCCUGCCUUGGGACCUUAAUUUGGUUUUGACUAUGUUGAUGAAAUCACUCUUCAACCCUCUGUCUAAGUAAUCUCUCAAAAUGUCCUUCAUUGUUGCUGUCAGCAGGCAGGAGAAUGACUUAAACGCACUUAUGGCUGAUCCCCCUUUCACAAGCACAAUGUAGUUCUAAGAGCCAGUACCAGAUUCUUUCUUAAGGUAGUCUCUCUGAUUCCACUCCCCCCCCCCCCCCCGCCCCUCACUGCACUCUAAUAAAGGGGACUCUGUCUUUUGGAUCCUAGAAGGGUUCUUAAGUGGACAGAAUUAAGUUUUUGUAACUCCAUUUCAACUGUUUGCAUCUUAUGCUAAGAAUACUUGGGUUAUAGGGUUCUCUCCCCCCUCCAACUCUGUAUUGCUGAAUGUUGCAUGCUAGCAGAUGUUCCUGUACUUGCUGUGAUUCAUACACAUUCCAGGAGAGGCGUGGCUACUUCCUUUUCCUGUCUUUGAUGGGUGGCCCUCAGAGUUGCAAUCUGGGUUUUAGUGCAUACCUUAAAUACUAGGCUCUGGCAAGGUGGUGCUCCAGUAUCUAGGACUCUGUUCCGAUUUUCAGGUGUGUUUUUAGCACUGCUUAUUAGGGUUCCAUAAGUGGUAAUAUGCAGAACCACUCAAAGAAGAAAUGAAGGUUACUUGCGCAUAACUGCAGUGCUUGAAGAGGGUUCUGCAUAUUCAUACUUUCCACUUGUCUUCCCCUGUGAAAAGACUGCUUGUUCUGUGUUUGUGGAAGACACUGAGGUAAGGGUACUCUGCCCCGCUGUAGCCUUGCCCUCAGAACAGGAAAAGGUGGGGCCAUAGAAGUACUCUAGUUGCCUCUGCCAGAAGAAGGUUCUACUUGAAGUUACCACCCCAUAUAUAGCAGAGCCAUUUCUAAGAACAGGUAAGUAACCCUCAUUUUGUGGUGGUGAUCCUGGCAUCAACAACCCCCUGUAGGAGUGGAGGUGGGGAAAUGAGACUCAGGUGGUUUUUUGUAACAGCCUUACAUUUGUAAUCAUAAUUUUUAUUUCUUGUAUCUAGUGACAACUGAAGCCUUCAUCUUUUAACCAUUGAAGAGCUGGAAAUGUUUGUACAAAGAUACUUCUCAAUUAGCUUUUGUUAUGAAACACGAUAGAAAAGGCACAAUUUUU